UGGCUGUGAUGAGCUGAAGAACUGCCUGACUUGGUAUUGGCAUGUGUUGGCAAUGACCAAGGAGUGAUUGGGUUUUAAUCUUCUCUCUGAGCUG
ensembl:snoRNA Z30 small nucleolar RNA